CAGUGCUCACGAUUUUCCCUGCAUGUUGCCCUGUUGCCAGAACAAUACAAGGAGAGCCCAGAUUGUUCUUGGCUGUGUUGAGAACAGGCCUUGAGGAAGUGCCACUGUAUUUGUAACGCCCAAUGCGCCAUUCAGUAAUGGUAGCCAGCCUACUGCUGCGUGAGGAGUCUGCUUUUCUAUUCAACUUUAUUCCAAGAUGACUAUAAUGACCUUCCUUUGGGAGUUGCUCCACAGUGCUCUCAUAGUUACAAGAGGAAAAUGUCUACUCCUGUAUCACAGUAACAAUUUUUUACAGAAUCUCAUUUUACCGAAGAAAAGCAAGG
rnacentral:lncRNA from 1 species